UAUUUAAAAAAUGAGAAACCCAAAUUUCAAAAAAUAAUACAAAAUACAACUACUAUACACGACCUGCUUUCCUGAUGCCAAAAAAAUAUUAUCAGGUAUUUUGUUGCACUGCCACGCCAAAAUUCCCGUUCUUCACCAUCUUACGAUUCAAGAAACCAAAGUAAUGGAAAUGGAACAAAAAAAAUGUGUAUCUUCAAUCACAAACAGAAAUUAUUAUUUACACUCGUUGUACAUCCAGUACAAUUUGAAUUUAAGAAGAAAACAAACACAAGGGUUGCGAUUGACCAAGUGGUGGGGAGUAAACCACCCAAUGAGAAACAGCGAGCAACAGAGCCGCCAAGACGUCUUGUUCAUAAACCAGAGUAUUAAAACGACUAUUGAAAAAAGGUCAGAAUUAGCAGCCAAUUACUACCUGGAGACAAUAAGAGUGCCCUCUGACCCCGUUGCAACGGUGCAUCCUAAUAAUUCGCCAAUGGGACAUCACAGAAACAAAACAGAGCGGCACUAUGUAUAAACUAAGCCCACGGGUCAGGGGAUUUUCUCCAACUCGUUAUAUUACCUUUAUUUAAUUUUAUUACUCAGUACCAAGUACCCGUAGCAAAUUUCCAUAAUUUUCGAAGAAUUUUCCUACAAAAUAUUACAAUUACAUUUGCACCGUUAAUUAACACAAGAUACCAAUAUUUACUGGAUUAAAAGUUCCCUG